CUCCCCGCAUCGCGACACUGAACGUGCCUCCCCCGCAGCAACCGCACGCCACGGGGAUGUCCGUAACCGGAGCUUAGGGGGCGCAGUGACCCUGCCAAGGGCUAACGCCAGACCUCCUCCUAAGGCAAGCAAAGACUAUCUGAUUCUUUCGCAUAUAGGAAGCAGUCACACCUUUUAAAAAAAGUUACUUUGCUGCAGGAAAGCUGAGCCAGAGUCCGUAAUUACACUGAAUAUGCUCAUUCCACUUUCUUAGGGGAAAGGAGUACCACAGCCAUAGAAACGCCCAAUGCUCUGCCUCCUGUCAGCCCCUCUAAACAGCAAUGUUAUUGCCAGUUCAUAGGGCUAUUGUAAGCAUGCUGCUGCGGGUAGGAGCGUACUCAAGUGAACAAGAGCGAGCUGUGGCCGAGGUACUCAGACUCCAGAAGGACAGUCAAAACUCAAAACCGUUCACCCAAUAGAUGUGCAAUAGAGGAAGGAGUUGCAGGAAGAAGAU